AGAGAGAGAGAGAGAGAGAGAUUUUGUUUUUUCCGUGUGGGGUAAUUUGUUUUUUUGUUUCUCUCUGGUAAUAAAAGCUUUGAGUUCUGUCGUCCUUUGUCAAUGGUGUCGGACCAGGAUCUAGCGAAAGGAGUCGAGACUCUGCUCCGGCAAUCCGACCCCACCUCUCUCACUUCGUUAAACAGUGUUGUUCACCAGCUCGAGGCUAAGCUAGGUCUAGACCUCACGGAGAAGACGAGUUUCAUCAGAGACCAGAUCAGUCACCUCCUCCGUGCAGCUCACCCACCAGCCUCCUCUGCUUCCGCAUCAACCCUACAACCUCCGCCGUCGCAGCAUUUCGGCGGCAAUGCUCCGGCGAAAGGGAAUUUCACACAUAACCAUCCGUCUCAAUUCUCUGCUUCCCAUUCUCAGCAUUUCGCUCUUCAGCCUCCUUACUACUCUUAUGACCUCAAUUUCCAGCAGCCGUAUCCGGCUUACACGCCGCAGCUGCACCAGCAACAGUCUCCGCGACAAGGAUUCUCUUUGCUGGUUUCACAAGGCGCCAGCGCUUCUCUAUCUGUUAAUCAAGCCCCCAAAGAAAGAACUAAAAGAAAAGGUGGUCCUGGAGGGUUAAACAAAGUCUGUAGGGUUUCUCCAGAGCUUCAAGUCGUUGUUGGUGAACCUGCUCUUCCCAGAACUGAGAUUGUGAGGCAAUUGUGGGCUUACAUAAGGAAGAACAACCUCCAAGACCCGAGUAACAAGCGGAAGAUCAUAUGUGAUGAUGCGUUGCGUGUGGUUUUCGAGACUGAUUGCACUGACAUGUUCAAGAUGAAUAAGUUGCUUGCUAAGCAUAUUCUCCCGCUUGAUCCAUCCAGUAAUGGUUUCAUUAACAAACUGAGGACUCUGGUCAAGCAAAACGGGCAAAAGCUGAGGUGGAGACUGAGACCACAGACCCUGUUAGUUCAACUUCAACUGUUGCGUUAUCCGAGCCACUUGCUAAGUUCUUUGGCACUGAUGAGACGGAGAUGAAGGACGAAGAGGUUAUUAGCCGUGUUUGGGAAUACAUAAAACUCAACAAUUUAGAGGACCCGGUAAAUACAAUGGCUAUUCAGUGCGAUGAAAAGCUCAGAGAUCUUCUUGGAUGUGAAAGCAUUUCAGCGAUAGGGGUUAAUGAGAUGCUUAGAGGCCAUAUGCACAAACCGUCUUGAUAUCUCCUGCUUCUGACUUAAAUUAACUAGGAACUACUAGUGACUGCAUCUAGUGAACCUACUUAUGACUCGCUGGUGUAGAAAUCUGAUAAGGAGGAAAAUAACAUUAUGACUUAACUUCCUUUAGUGCUAUCUUCAUUUUCCUUAGCUCUCUUUGUUUCUUAGUUGGCUGUGUAUCAAAAUGGUUUAGGCUGAUAUCGUAUUUAAGUAUUGAAAACUCUAUGGCGUCGAUGUUUUGUAUUUAACGCCAUAUUUACCCAUGAAUGUUUUAGGAAGAAAAAAAAAGGGUAAAAGACCCAUGUGUUUAAUUA